UGAUAGUACCACAAGUCUUCGGAUGAGUGGAUAGUGAUCCUAAUCAGACUGUCGAGAAAACCCGCUAGCUUAAGUUGCAAAAAACCGUACCUCAAACCGACACAGGUGGUCGAGAAGAAUAUUCUAAGGUGCUCGAGUGAAUCACGGUUAAGGAACUCGGCAAAUUAACCCCGUAACUUCGGAAAAAGGGGUGCCCCUAGCAAUAGGGGCCGCAGAGAAAUGGCUCAGGCGACUGUUUAUCAAAAACACAUGGCUAUGCAAAAUCGAAAGAUAACGUAUAUGGCCUGACACCUGCCCGGUGCCGGAAGGUUAAGAGGGGAUGUUAGCAGCAAUGCGAAGCAUUGAAUCGAAGCCCCGGUAAACGGCGGCCGUAACAAUAACGGUCCUAAGGUAGCGAAAUUCCUUGUCGGGUAAGUUCCGACCUGCACGAAUGGUGUAACGAUCUGAGCACUGUCUCAACCGUGAGCUCGGUGAAAUUGUGGUAUCGGUGAAGACGCCGGUUAAUCGCAUCGGGACGGAAAGACCCCGUGCACCUUUACUAUAGCUUUGCAUUGACUUUGGGUAAAUAAUGUGUAGGAUAGGCGGGAGACUUUGAAGCGGUGUCGCUAGGCAUCGUGGAGUCAACCUUGAAAUACCGCCCUUUGUUUACUUGGAGUCUAACCCUGCUAAGCGGGGGACAUUGCAUGGUGGGUAGUUUGACUGGGGUGGUCGCCUCCAAAAAAGUAUCGGAGGCUUCUAAAGGUCUGCUCAGCACGCUUGGUAACCGUGCGAAGAGUGCAAUAGCAUAAGCAGGCUUGACUGUGAGGCCAACAAGCCGAGCAGGUACGAAAGUAGAGUAUAGUGAUCCGGCGGUUCUGUAUGGAAGGGCCGUCGCUCAUAGGAUAAAAGGUACGCCCGGGAUAACAGGCUGAUCUCCCCCAAGAGCUCAUAUCGACGGGGAGGUUUGGCACCUCGAUGUCGGCUCGUCACAUCCUGGGGCUGGAGAAGGUCCCAAGGGUUCGGCUGUUCGCCGAUUAAAGUGGCACGCGAGCUGGGUUCAGAACGUCGUGAGACAGUUCGGUCCCUAUCUGAUGUGAUCGUUGGAAGUUUGAGAGGAUCUGACCUUAGUACGAGAGGACCGGGUCGGACGUACCUCUGGUGUAUCUGUUGUGGCGCCAGCUGCAUCGCAGAGUAGCUAUGUACGGACAAGAUAAGCGCUGAAAGCAUCUAAGCACGAAACUUACCUCAAGAUGAGACUUCCUUUAAGAGUCGUAGAAGACUACUACGUUGAUAGGUUGCAGAUGUAAAGAUGGUAACAUCAAAGUCGAGCAAUACUAAUUACUC
rnacentral:rRNA from 1 species